rnacentral:rRNA from 1 species
CAGGCUUAACACAUGCAAGUCGAGGGGCAGCAUGGUCUUAGCUUGCUAAGGCCGAUGGCGACCGGCGCACGGGUGAGUAACGCGUAUCCAACCUGCCUUACACUCUUGGACAGCCUUCUGAAAGGGAGAUUAAUACAAGAUGUUAUCAUGAGUAAGCAUUUUCGCAUGAUUAAAGGUUUACCGGUGUAAGAUGGGGAUGCGUUCCAUUAGAUAGUAGGCGGGGUAACGGCCCACCUAGUCUUCGAUGGAUAGGGGUUCUGAGAGGAAGGUCCCCCACAUUGGAACUGAGACACGGUCCAAACUCCUACGGGAGGCAGCAGUGAGGAAUAUUGGUCAAUGGACGAGAGUCUGAACCAGCCAAGUAGCGUGAAGGAUGAAGGUUCUAUGGAUUGUAAACUUCUUUUAUACGGGAAUAAACGAAUCCACGUGUGGAUUUUUGCAUGUACCGUAUGAAUAAGGAUCGGCUAACUCCGUGCCAGCAGCCGCAGUAAUACGGAGGAUCCGAGCGUUAUCCGGAUUUAUUGGGUUUAAAGGGAGCGUAGAUGGGUUGUUAAGUCAGUUGUGAAAGUUUGCGGCUCAACCGUAAAAUUGCAAUUGAUACUGGCAGUCUUGAGUACAGUUGAGGUAGGCGGAAUUCGUGGUGUAGCGGUGAAAUGCUUAGAUAUCACGAAGAACUCCGAUUGCGAAGGCAGCUUACUAACCUGUAACUGACAUUGAUGCUCGAAAGUGUGGGUAUCAAACAGGAUUAGAUACCCUGGUAGUCCACACGGUAAACGAUGAAUACUCGCUGUAGGCGAUAUACAGUCUGCGGCCAAGCGAAAGCAUUAAGUAUUCCACCUGGGGAGUACGCCGGCAACGGUGAAACUCAAAGGAAUUGACGGGGGCCCGCACAAGCGGAGGAACAUGUGGUUUAAUUCGAUGAUACGCGAGGAACCUUACCCGGGCUUAAAUUGCAACCGAAUAUGGCGGAAACGCUAUAGCUAGCAAUAGCGGUUGUGAAGGUGCUGCAUGGUUGUCGUCAGCUCGUGCCGUGAGGUGUCGGCUUAAGUGCCAUAACGAGCGCAACCCUUGCCGAUAGUUACUAACAGGUCAUGCUGAGGACUCUGUCGGGACUGCCAUCGUAAGAUGUGAGGAAGGUGGGGAUGACGUCAAAUCAGCACGGCCCUUACGUCCGGGGCUACACACGUGUUACAAUGGGGGGUACAGAGGGCUGCUACCACGCAAGUGGAUGCCAAUCCCAAAAACCUCUCUCAGUUCGGAUUGAAGUCUGCAACCCGACUUCAUGAAGCUGGAUUCGCUAGUAAUCGCGCAUCAGCCACGGCGCGGUGAAUACGUUCCCGGGCCUUGUACACACCGCCCGUCAAGCCAUGGGAGCCGGGGGUACCUGAAGUGCGUAACCGCAAGGAGCGCCCUAGGGUAAAACUGGUGACUGGGGCUAAGUC